rnacentral:rRNA from 1 species
GACGAACGCUGGCGGCGUGCCUAAUACAUGCAAGUAGGACGCAGUUGGGAACGGGUGAGUAACGCGUAGGUAACUGCCUAUUAGCGGGGGAUAACUAUUGGAAACGAUAGCUAAUACCGCAUACUAGUAGAUGGACCUGCGUUGUAUUAGCUAGUAGGUAGGGUAAUGGCCUACCUAGGCGACGAUACAUAGCCGACCUGAGAGGGUGGUCGGCCACACUGGGACUGAGACACGGCCCAGACUCCUACGGGAGGCAGCAGUAGGGAAUCUUCGGCAAUGGGGGGAACGCUGAACGAGGAAAGCCGGGGGAGUGAAGAAGGGUUUCGGAUCGGAAAGCUCUGUUGGUAAGGAAGCGGUACUUAACCAGAAAGGGACGGCUAACUACGUGCCAGCAGCCGCGGUAAUUC